GCAAGUCGAACGGGAACACUUUUAUUACCCAUACUGAGGGUGUUCUAGUGGCGAUCGGGUGAGUAACAAGUAGGUGACCUGCCCCGAAUAGGGGGAUAACGGUCCGAAAGGACUGCUAAUACCCCAUGUGGUUGAUGAUUCAUUUCGUCAAUUAAAGUUUCCGCAAGGAGUAUGCUUCGGGAGGGGCCUGCGGCGGAUUAGAUAGUUGGUGGGGUAAUGGCCUACCAAGUCGAUGAUCCGUAGGUAGUCUGAGAGGACGAUUAGCCACACUGGCACUGACACACGGGCCAGACUCCUACGGGAGGCAGCAGCAGGGAAUAUUGCACAAUGGGCGAAAGCCUGAUGCAGCAACGCCGCGUGAGGGAUGAAGGUCUUCGGAUUGUAAACCUCUUUUACAGGGGACGAGUAAGGACGGUACCCUGUGAAUAAGCAACGGCUAACUACGUGCCAGCAGCCGCGGUAAUACGUAGGUUGCUAGCGUUAUUCGGAUUUACUGGGCGUAAAGAGCACCGAGGUGGCUUCUUAAGUUGGAUGUAAAAUCUCCUGGCUUAACUGGGAGGCGCCAUUCAAAACUGAGGAGCUUGAGGUCAGCAGGGGAAGGUGGAAUUCCCGGUGUAGUGGUGGAAUGCGUAGAGAUCGGGAGGAACACCAGUGGCGAAAGCGACCUUCUGGGCUGCACCUGACACUGUAGUGCGAAAGCGUGGGGAGCAAACAGGAUUAGAUACCCUGGUAGUCCACGCCGUAAACGAUGGAUACUAGGUGUGGGAGGUAUUGACCCCUUCCGUGCCGAAGCCAACGCGUUAAGUAUCCCGCCUGGGGAGUACG
rnacentral:rRNA from 1 species